rnacentral:rRNA from 1 species
AUGCCGCGUGUGUGAAGAAGGCCUUCGGGUUGUAAAGCACUUUCAGUCGUGAGGAAGGUAGUGUAGUUAAUAGCUGCAUUAUUUGACGUUAGCGACAGAAGAAGCACCGGCUAACUCCGUGCCAGCAGCCGCGGUAAUACGGAGGGUGCGAGCGUUAAUCGGAAUUACUGGGCGUAAAGCGCAUGCAGGUGGUUUGUUAAGUCAGAUGUGAAAGCCCGGGGCUCAACCUCGGAAUAGCAUUUGAAACUGGCAGACUAGAGUACUGUAGAGGGGGGUAGAAUUUCAGGUGUAGCGGUGAAAUGCGUAGAGAUCUGAAGGAAUACCGGUGGCGAAGGCGGCCCCCUGGACAGAUACUGACACUCAGAUGCGAAAGCGUGGGGAGCAAACAGGAUUAGAUACCCUGGUAGUCCACGCCGUAAACGAUGUCUACUUGGAGGUUGUGGCCUUGAGCCGUGGCUUUCGGAGCUAACGCGUUAAGUAGACCGCCUGGGGAGUACGGUCGCAAGAUUAAAACUCAAAUGAAUUGACGGGGGCCCGCACAAGCGGUGGAGCAUGUGGUUUAAUUCGAUGCAACGCGAAGAACCUUACCUACUCUUGACAUCCAGAGAACUUUCCAGAGAUGGAUUGGUGCCUUCGGGAACUCUGAGACAGGUGCUGCAUGGCUGUCGUCAGCUCGUGUUGUGAAAUGUUGGGUUAAGUCCCGCAACGAGCGCAACCCUUAUCCUUGUUUGCCAGCACUUCGGGUGGGAACUCCAGGGAGACUGCCGGUGAUAAACCGGAGGAAGGUGGGGACGACGUCAAGUCAUCAUGGCCCUUACGAGUAGGGCUACACACGUGCUACAAUGGCGCAUACAGAGGGCGGCCAACUUGCGAGAGUGAGCGAAUCCCAAAAAGUGCGUCGUAGUCCGGAUCGGAGUCUGCAACUCGACUCCGUGAAGUCGGAAUCGCUAGUAAUCGUGGAUCAGAAUGCCACGGUGAAUACGUUCCCGGGCCUUGUACACACCGCCCGUCACACCAUGGGAGUGGGCUGCAAAAGAAGUAGGUAGUUUAACCUUCGGGAGGACGCUUACCACUUUGUGGUUCAUGACUGGGGUGAAGUCGUAACAAGGUAGCGCUAGGGGAACCUGGCGCUGGAUCACCUCCUUAUACGA